UCACGUGCUGGCAGGGCCGGGGAAAUGGUGGCUUCAGGAGAGAGAGGGACUUAGGGCGGCAGAGGCAGCACAGAGGAGGCAUUUAUGACCUUCUACAGUGAGGUGAAACAAAUAGAAAAGAGAGAUUCAGUUCUAACUUCAAAAAAUCAAAUUGAAAGAUUGACCUGUCCUAGUUCCUCUUACUUCAAUUUGAACCCAUUUGAGGUUCUUAAGACGGAUCCAGAAGUUACAGAUGAAGAAAUAAAAAAGAGGUUCUGGCAGUUAUCCAUAUUGGUGCUUCCUGACAAAAACCAAGAUGAUGCUGACAGAGCACAAAAAGCUUUUGAAGCUGUGGACAAAGCUUAUGAGUUGCUACUGGAUAAGGAACAAAAGAAGAGGGCCCUGGAUAUAAUUGAUGCAGGAAAAGAAUACAUGGAACACACUGUGAAAGAGCGGAAAAAACAGUUAAAGGAGGAAGGAAAAUCUACAGUUGUAGAGGAGGAUGAUCCUGAGUUGUUUAAACAAGCAGUAUAUAAACAGACCAUGAAACUCUUUGCUGAGCUAGAAACUAAAAGGAAAGAGAGAGAAGCCAAAGAGAUGCAUGAAAGGAAGCGGCAAAGGAAAGAAGAGAUCGAAGCUCAAGAAAAAGCCAAACGAGAAAGAGAGUGGCAGAAAACUUUGAGAAAAGUCGAGAUGGUCGUGUAGAUAGCUGGCAAAAUUUCCAAGCAAAUACGAAGGGGAAGAAAGAGAAGAAAAAUCGGACUUUCCUGAGACCACCGAAAGUAAAAAUGGAGCAGUGUGAGUGACCUCCUGGGGUCACAGUCGCAGGACCUCCUCCAGCUGUCUCCCUGCUUUGAAGGACUCAUUCUUUCUUCCCAUUUCCACCCCAACAUAGAGUACUAUUUGCUUUUUGGCUCAUUUUGUUUUCAAUACAAUUUAAUACUGAUCAGAGUAAUUCUUUUGUACAUUGAAAUGAGGGGCUUGGUUUAAAAAAAGACCUUCCCCCUCUGCCCCUAGAACAACCAGGAUUGGAAGGUACCACUUUGGUGCUGCAUUCUCUUCCCACAGCCUGUAACUUAAUGUUUUGUAUUUCACUGAAUUGUGAUGGUUAGAAACUUCCUGUAUAGUUUGUGGAAAUCAUCCAAUUAAACAUACUGCUUA